AAACUAGGAUUAGAUACCCUAUUAUUUACUUUCCAACCUUUGGUAAGUAAAUAAAGAUUAUGAAAGCAAAAAAUUAUGGCGGUAUUUUAAGCUUUUCAGAGGAAUUUGCUCUUUAAUGGAUAAAACACCUAAAUCUUACUUAAAUUUGUUAAUUCAAUUUGUAUACCACUAUAAAAACAAUUUAUAACUUUAAUUGUUGGUAUUUAUUAAAUUAAAAUAUAUUAAGUCAAGGUGCAGUAAAAAUUUAAGGAUGAAGUGAAUUACAUUACUUUUUAGAGAGAUAAAUUUAAAAUAAUAUUUAGGAUUUGAAAGUAAAAUUAAAAUAUAAUGUUAAUUUGAAUUAAGCUCUAAAAUAUGUACACAUCGCCCGUCGCUCUCAUU
rnacentral:rRNA from 1 species